rnacentral:lncRNA from 1 species
AUGACACGAUCAAAAAGCGUAAAGACAGUUGCAAGGAGAAAAAACAUGAAUGAAUGUGGAGGGCGGAGCCUGGGAAAACCCCUCUGCAACGCUGCACUGAACAAAGCGCUUCGCAUGCCAGGAGGAGGGGGGAAUGGAAGUGCCAGCUCAGGAAGGAGCCCGGAGUGGAUGCGGAGAGGAGGAGGAGGAGGAGGAGGAGGAGGAGGAGGAGGAGGAGGAGGAGGAGGCCGGUAUGAGGCGAGCGCGGCAGCCCUGAGACUCCUCCUCGCCGCCGGCUCCAGCUCCGGCUCCGCCACCGCCCCCUCCCCUCCCUCCCUCCCUCCCCUCCCCUCCCCUCCCCAGCAGCAACUCCUUCCCCAGCCCGACCCCAGGGCGAGCCGGAGCCGACCCGCGCCCAGACCCUCCGCCCGCUUCCCAACUGCUGCAGGCGCGUACUCCCAACCCGGAAAGAAACUACCCAGGUGGCUGGGAGUAAACAGGCACUUGGAGCAAAGAACGAAAGGGAAAGAAAGCCACAAAGCCGGGAGGUUGGGAAGCCGAGGCCUGGUCUCCCUCACCCCCCCCCCACCCUCUUGCAAAAAUGCGUCUGCGGCUGGAACGCGGGUGGGGAGGCUGGGUCCCUCCGUACCUGCUCGCCUCGCAGGACCGCAGCUCGGGCCGCUCGCGCGCGGCGAGGGCGCCCAGAAGUGCCAAGUGUCUCCCGCACGCAGCCAUCCCCUCCGCAAGGUCGGCGGCUGCACACACACACACACACACACACGCGCGCACACACGCGCGCCCGCACGCCCCCCGCCCGCGCAGGGGGACGCGGUCCUGCCCCCUCCCCCCGCGCCCUCCCAGCUGCAGCGCCCCCGCCGCCCAGCCCGCGCCGAACCUGCUGCCAGGACGCCCGGCGGAGCCGCUGCCGCUGCAGCCGGCCCGGGAGCUGCGCUGCUGAUGGCGGCGGCCGCAGCUCGGAAUCUCCGCGACCCCCGUGCGGCGGCGGCGGCGGCGGCAGCGGCGGCGCCCGGGAUCCCUCCUUCACUUGACAACCCCAAACACAAACAUCGCCCCCUCCCGCGGCUGCUCCCGGCCCCCGGCUCCGGCCCCCUCCCCGCCGCCGCCGCCGCCGCCGCCGCCCCAGCAGCAGCCACCCCGGAGGCCGGCGACUGGCGCUCACACCACCCAGCGCUGAAAUAUUAA